GGCGUAAGGGUGCGUAACACGUGGGCAACUGCCGAGAAGUGGGGGAUAGCUCGCCGAAAGGCGAAUUAAUACCGCAUGUGGCUAGCGAAGACAUCUUCGCGACGCCAAAGCCGGGGCAACCUGGCGCUUCUUGAUGGGCCCGCGGCCUAUCAGCUAGUUGGUGAGGUAACGGCUCACCAAGGCUAUGACGGGUAGCUGGUCUGAGAGGACGACCAGCCACACUGGAACUGAGACACGGUCCAGACACCUACGGGUGGCGGCAGUCGAGAAUUUUUCUCAAUGGGGGAAACCCUGAAGGAGCGACGCCGCGUGGAGGAUGAAGGUCUUCGGAUUGUAAACUCCUGUCAUUAGGGAACAAGUUGCAACCAUUAACUGUGGUUGCAUUGAUAGUACCUGAAGAGGAAGAGACGGCUAACUCUGUGCCAGCAGCCGCGGCAAUACAGAGGUCUCAAGCGUUGUCGGAUUCAUUGGGGCGUAAAGGGUGCGUAGGUGGCGCCGUAAGUCAGGGUGUGAAAUCUCGGGGCUUAAACCCCGAAACUGCACUUGAUACUGCGGU
rnacentral:rRNA from 1 species